AUUUUUUAGACCAACUCCAGCGGUAGUUUUUUAGUAGAAACUCAUACAAUUAAAAAAAAU
rnacentral:sRNA from 1 species